GAUGAACGCUAGCGGCAGGCUUAACACAUGCAAGUCGAGGGGUAACAGGGAGGAGCUUGCUUUUCCGCUGACGACCGGCGCACGGGUGCGUAACGCGUAUAGAACCUACCUUUUACAGGGGAAUAGCCCAGAGAAAUUUGGAUUAAUGCCCCAUAGUAUUAUUGAAUGGCAUCAUUUAAUAAUUAAACAUUUAUGGGUAAAAGAUGGCUAUGCGUUCUAUUAGCUAGAUGGUAAGGUAACGGCUUACCAUGGCAACGAUAGAUAGGGGUCCUGAGAGGGAGAUCCCCCACACUGGUACUGAGACACGGACCAGACUCCUACGGGAGGCAGCAGUGAGGAAUAUUGGACAAUGGAGGCAACUCUGAUCCAGCCAUGCCGCGUGCAGGAAGACGGUCCUAUGGAUUGUAAACUGCUUUUAUAUAGGAAGAAACCUUUCCACGUGUGGAAAGCUGACGGUACUAUAAGAAUAAGCACCGGCUAACUCCGUGCCAGCAGCCGCGGUAAUACGGAGGGUGCAAGCGUUAUCCGGAAUCAUUGGGUUUAAAGGGUCCGUAGGCGGACUAAUAAGUCAGGGGUGAAAUCCAACAGCUUAACUGUUGAACUGCCUUUGAUACUGUUAGUCUUGAGUUAUAUGGAAGUAGAUAGAAUAUGUAGUGUAGCGGUGAAAUGCUUAGAGAUUACAUAGAAUACCGAUUGCGAAGGCAGUCUACUACGUAUAUACUGA
rnacentral:rRNA from 1 species